rnacentral:rRNA from 1 species
UACGUAGGGUGCUAGCGUUGUUCGGAAUCAUUGGGCGUAAAGCGCGUGUAGGCGGUUAGUUAAGUCGGGUGUGAAAUCCCUCGGCUCAACCGAGGAAGUGCAUUCGAAACUAACUAGCUGGAGAGUGGUAGAGGAAGGUGGAAUUCCAAGUGUAGAGGUGAAAUUCGUAGAUAUUUGGAGGAAUACCGGCGGCGAAGGCGGCCUUCUGGACCAUUUCUGACGCUGAGACGCGAAAGCGUGGGGAGCAAACAGG